CUUGUGAGGUGUAUGGGCUCCUUUAAUGGGGGCAGUUUGUAUGGAAGCUUCUGAUUCCAGUAUUUCUGUGGCAACCUAAGAACACAAAGUUCAUCAGAUGGACGCUCACACAUAUACUCACCGUGAGGACAUAGGGAUGUGAAUGUACAGGAGACGACUAAGAGGUACAGUUCAGCAGCUGGUUUUCUCCACUGGGGAGAACGUGACAAGGGAGAAGGUCAGAGCUCCGAGCUCCUAGAGUACACAGACACAUUUAAUGAUAGUUCCCUGUACAGAAGCUAUGAUGACUCCCUGUGGACACUUGGGCAUUUCGGGAAGAAGCAGACUAUCGGGACUCUUGUUCACUCGAUAAGACAAGCUGCCAUGUUGGAAAGGACUACGUGGGAAGAACUGAAGGUGGUCUCUGGGCCAACAGCCAGCAAGGAACUGAGGCCCUCAACCCAACAAUCCUCAAGGAACAAAAUCUUGUCAACAAUACAUGAACGAAUGUGGUAGUAGAUCCUUUCUCAGUUGGGCCUUCAGGUAUGUCUGCAUACAUUUAUUCACCAUUUGAACUUUCUUAAUGACUUCAUUCCACACCCACCAUUUGCUGUGAAAUCCAUCAAUCACAUACCAGUUCUGAUGUUGUUCUUG